UUCGUGCGUCGUGGACACAAGUGAGUCGCUGCAGAUUCUCUGUGCACUUGGCCUCUCUGUGGGUGUGCGUGCUUUUUAUGUGUAGCUAGUCUUUGUGAAUAGCUUACAGUUACCAAGCGUCCAUUGCCAACAAAUGAAAAAGAAGGCCAGCUGCUCAAAUUAAAGCGGGUAGCGGAAAAAUCGAUUAGCCCAAUGAACGUGAGAUUGUGUGAUAAUAUGUAUGUGUGUUUUGUAUGAGUUUGUAUUUGCCUAAAACACCCAAAAAAAAGAAAUAAAUAAAUAUAAAGUAAAAUAAAACAAACAAAUUAAAUUAAAGGAUGUUGCUGUAGACCGGCAUGGCCAUGAACGCCCCUUGAUAAACUCAACAACAGCAUCCAGCAAGGUCGCUGAGGAUAAAACAACAAAAAAGGAUAAAAUCAACAAGAACUGGCAGCAGUAAGAAAUUAAAAACUCUGCCGUUGCAGAUGGACGGACAAUUCUGAAGAGCUGGAGCCAAUAUAGCAUGUACCUUAUCAUGUAGCGCCAUGAUCAGACCGGGGGCCAAGUGGUUAUGCUAUGCAGGCAACGAAACUGGGAAACCACACCUCCACUCAUGUACCUAUAUCCCCAGCAGAAAUCAGCAACAGGAACAACAACAGCGCGAGCAUAAGCAAAUCAAGGGCAAUCUUUGGACAUGGCAUAGGGCAGAUGCUGUAACGGGUGUCGGUGUUAGCGACAGCAGCGUGGGCGUCAGUGGCGCCUCUGUUGUAGUCUGAGGCAACAUCAUUAGCUUCAAACACAGCUUAAUGAUUAUGCGCAAGGCAAGCCAAUUGUAUUAUGCCGCAACUAUGAACUAUUGCUACAAUUAAUAUUAAUUCAUAAUAUUUCUACAAUAUUCAUGUUAAGAAAAA